AAGGUGUUAAGUUAAUUAGACUGCGGCACUUCAAAUGCUGAAGUGGGCAGGAAGCCCACGCCUUG
rnacentral:tRNA from 1 species